rnacentral:lncRNA from 1 species
GCAUGAUAAAAAAUGACAGAGAAGACACUGAUGAAAGUCUGCAGCUUCAUCACUUUCUUCUGUGGACCGCAUUUGUUACUACUUAUUUGCCUUUUUAUUGUCAGAAUGGGAAUUUAUACUGUUUAGGAAAAAAAAAUGUUUUUCUGAAGGUCCAGUCCACGAAGUUUAUUUCAGACUGGGUGAGUUAUACUCUUGAGAGUAUCAUUUAAGCCUCCAAAGAGACCUAAGAAUACUAGGGCACUAUUAGGUGUAGUGCUCCUUGCAACUCCC